UCGGGCCGCAGCGCAUCGUUCAAAAGAAACCAAACGUCGAGAGACAACGAAAUGGAGGAAAAAUGGCCGAGCCCUGGCCUGCUGCGAAAGGCCGGUGGAGGACGCCAGGCCCCGAUCCGCAGAGAGCCCGAGCCAUCGCUGCCAAACACAUCCCUGCUCCUGGGGGAAAGCAAGAUGGGGCCGGAGGAUGGCUGCUUUCCCUGCAGUGCCCCUCCAUCUUACAGAUUUCGGGGCAGUCAGGGCUUCCCCUCGUAGUAAAGAAAUUUCAAUUGAACUCCUGAGAUGCUUCACUAUUUCACAGCCACAGAACUGAGUGAGAAGGACACUGAGGAUUUCUGGAGCCCAAGAGUUUCUGUGGGAGACAUCAGCACCUGCAGAGCCAAAGGUUACCCCUGGCACCAAUUCUGGGGGCAUUUUGUCUGACACUUUGGAUGUCAAUGAUGUGACAAAGAGCAGCCAACAGUGGAUGUGCUGGUUUAGCUGGAGAAAAAUUCAGGAUUCAGAUAAGAAAGAAAGGAAACAAUUCCUAAUGGAGAAUCGUGUUCCCUUUUGCCUCUCCUGUGGGAUCCAGGUUAGAGCUGCUGCUCCUUUCCAGGACUGCUGUUUCCCUCCAGAUGUGUGACUACGUGUGCAGGCUGCAUUUGCAUGCGGAGAUGAAUGAGGCUGAUAAUAGCAGCACUUAGCAGGAAGUGCCGUGUGAUGUAACAUUUCCUUGAUCUAACCUGCUGUUGGUCUUGAGCUGCCUUCCCUGAGCUACCCGGGGUGAUCCUCAACAGCAUCCAGCAAGACAAAACACGCCUGGCUGCACAGGGACAGCAGCACAGGCACGGGGCUUUGCUCUGAGCAAAAUCAGCUGCUGGAGAAGCUCAGAGAACUGAGCUUUUUCACACACGAGUUUUCUCUUCCCUGAAGAUUUCAGUUGUUCAGUGCCAUCAUCCCCACCGCUCCUCUCAGAGGGUAAAGCUUUGUGGGCAGUGCUGUGAGCACGGGGCUCUCCAAACACUUGGAAGGAAAUUAAGAGAACAAAUCGGGUGCUGACACACAGCAGCGCUUCCCAGAGAGAUACGAUGUAGCUCGUCAGCAAAGCUGCCCUCAGUUCUGACAGGACACACCCCUGGCCAGACCAGAAUCGGCGCCACAGCAAAACCAAACCCCAAAUUCCAAACCAGCCACGUGGGACAGCUGCUGCCACCUCUGCCUUUCCCCCCACCCUGAUCUUCCUGCAGCUCCCAAAUUCCCAGCUCAGCUCUGAGCAGAGAGCAGCUCCCAUCAGGUGCAGUUUUUGAUCUGCACUUGCAGUUUUGUUGCCAUUUCUUCCCAAUUGUCAGCCCUGCAGCUGAGUGCAGCCAGGGUGAUGGAUGUCCCUGCUGGGCCUUGCAUUUUCUGCUGCUUCUCCUGCACCAAGAGGAGAUGAAGGGGAGUGCUGAUGUCCACGGAGCUCUGGAGGGAGGAACAGCAGUGCCAGAGCUUGUGCACCCAUUAUCACCAUGAAUGACCCCUGCUCUCAACUUCCACAGGCCUUGGACACAACGAGACCAUUUCCCUCCUCAGCCAGCAAAGCUCCAGGAUCCAUCUGAUGGAGCCAUGGCUCUGCAGAGAUCCUUGGGACAGAGCUGCAAACUGGGAGAACCAACCCUGCCCAGCAAAGCACUAGGUUGGACAUUUCCAAAUCUCCAACCAAAUCUCCAAAGCACCAGGUAUUUUUAUUUGGAAAUCUCCAACCAGGUGCUUUUUGCCUUUAGAUUUCACAUUUUUUAGGAGAAGGAGGGGGGAACCCAGCCUGGCUCCUGCUAAGCAGCAGCAGCAGCAGCAGCACACAAAGCAAUCGUUAUGCCAAGAUUUAGCUGUUAAAUCCCUCAAGAUCUGCUGCUCACAGAGCAUAAACAACCUUUGCCUCCCAGCCUGGCUGGGCUGCACCUCCAGGUUUCCCAGCAGAGCCACUCAGACCCUCCCAUACCCAUCCUCUCCCCAGCCCUUUGCUGAGGCUGCCGUGCCAACAAGAAAGCCAGUUGCCAUGGCAUUUUUUCCCCCUACAGACAGAUGUCCAUUAAAAACCAAGUCAGCCUCAGGUUUGCUUCACAGAGCAGCUUUCAGUUAUUAUUACCAGCCUGCAAGGAAUUUCCACUGUAGCCCUUCACCUCAGAUGUUUCAAUGCACUUCAGGAUUAAUCCCUGGGGAUUAGAAGGAAACUACUACAGAGCAGGCACAGGUAUGCUCAAAGGACAAAUUUAGGAUUAUGAUUGUGGUUUAUGUUUUUGGCAGAUGACAAUCACAUGACUGUGUUUGGAAAGGGUUGCAUUUGUUACCUCUGGUGCUCUUUCCCCUGUUCACUGGGCUAAAAUCAUCAGGGAAAUUGGAAGUGAGACGUGAAACUUUCCCCUCCUCAGGGAUGUCUCACCUGGGGCUCAAAUCUGGGAUUUUGGCUUCAGUAGGAACCCCCCUGUCCUGGACAGGCUCCGUCCAUGGAGAAGAGAAAGCCCAGGCAGUUUCUGUGAGCAGGGUCAAGCACUUCCACAACAACAUGGCUCAGGGAGCCAAUUCCACAUUUUUAUUGAAGAAUGGGAAAAGGGAUAAAUGGAUCCCGUAAUCCCAUCCUGGGGGCCAAGGGCCUGUUGGAAAUGUCCCUUGGGAAAAGCAGAGGAGCUUCCUACUGCAGUGCUGGCAGCACAUCCCCAGCAUCUCUGCAGGGAUGGGUUUGAAGGGAACAGUCAGGUAUUUUUAUUUGGACUCCAACAGUGCUGAAUGUGUGAAAAUUAGACACUGAAAUUUAACUGUACAGUGGAAUUAGUUUUCCUUACUUAGCACUGCAGUGUUGGAAAUCCUUGGUGAUGUCCAGGGAGGGAUCUCCUCUCUCACAUCUGGCUCUGAACUUGGCAGUGCUUCCACAGCACUCCUUGUUUAAGCUGUGGCACCUGGGAAACCUCGGCCUUCAGAGGUUUUGGAGCCACCAUUGCAGCUCAGAGCCCUGAUCCAGGCUCACAGGGAGGUUUCCACUGGAGCCUGGACCUCUGAGGGAGCCAAGUGCCACAGUCCCAGCUGCAGGAAUGACAGCCCCUGUGGCUCUGGGAGGCAGCAGGGGCUGAGCACACCCUGGCUGCAGGGUCCCAGGGGAGCUCUCCCUUCCAGCCUCUGUCACUUCCCAAGGCGACACAUUUGGAUUUCUCCUCUCAGUUACAGCAAGAACAGCUGCAAAUAUGAUCAAAAAUAUCUAAUCCUCUUAACUGCUUCUGCAGUUUGACUCGAUCCCUGCAGAGGAAAAUGCUGUGAUUGCAGAGUGCUGCCUGCAUUCCCACGUAAGCCUCGGCUUUUACACCAUUGAUUGCUCCUCCACAUUGAUUUUUUGGAAGGAGGAGAAGGUGUUUGGCUCCUUGUGAUGAAACUGAGGGGGAUUUUCAGGAAGGGUUGGAGGCCAGGAGCUCCCAGAUCCCAGGGAAGCACCUGGCUCUUGGUGCUCCUUCACUGAAUCCAGCUGGGAUUUGUUCUUCACCAGAAGCCAGAGCAUGUUUGAAAGCUGCCAAGGAGAAUUGCUUGGGAAAAGUCCUCUUUGCUCCUUGUGCAAGCCCUGCACUUGCAGAGGGAAACUUUUAGCACAGCUGUGCUUGGACAAAACCAUCCAGCUUCCCCUCCAGCUGCAGCAGCAUCCCUGUCUCCUGUGGAUAUCUGUGGAUAACUCCAGCUCACCCAUCUUGCUUGGCCACAUCUCCCACUCAGCUCCUCCAGCUCUCACAACUGAACUCCACGCAGACCAGGGAUUCCAGCCAACAGCUCCAGGAAUUUCAACAGCCUAAGUUAAUUCUGUUGGGCUGAGAUUCCCAGUAGUGCAGAGGAAUCAUUCUGGGAGAUCUAAUCCUGGUGUAGAUGCUGGAAGGAUUUGUUGUGGGUUUGGUUUUGUUUUACAGAGCUCUGGCACACAGAUCAUGAAGAUGCUUUGGAACCUGUAAGUGGGGGGUCUCCCAGCACCCCAAAGAGGAGCAUUUUUCCCAAAAGGAAACCCAGAGGAUUUCCUUCACCUGCUUAAACCCCUCUGCUGUAUAUGGCAAGAGGCUUUUCUUCCCCAAAGAUGGUGAGCAUUGUGAUAAAUAUCACAAAUAACACAUAAAAGAGAGAAGAGGAGACUGAGAGGCAGAGGCCUGGCCUGUGAAUUAUUGCCAAAAACAUCAUCUUUGCAUCCAGGAGACCAAGGUAUGUCCCACACUGACAUUGUCCUCCAAGGCCAUUGCCACCACAUAGGGACACAGAAAAACACAGCAAACAAGCAAAAAAACCAGUUCAUUGCAGUCUGUCUCCAGGAAAAAAUCAGCACAACCAGGAUCUCAGGCUGGGAAUAAAGCAUGUGCUUCACACAGCUCAUCCUCACCCACUGCCCUCAGGCCCACAAACCCAGAGAACCUCUCCAACCACCAAACCAGCAAAUUACUGAACCUGCAAAGACCAAAAUCUCAGUUUCCUGGUGAGCUCAGAGCUCAGCUCCCAGCAGCAGCAGCAAAGAUUUGCACAGCUCCCCAGCCUCAGCACAGCUCAGGAAACCCUCCCCAAAGAGCCCCCACCUACCCCAGCUCCAGCUCCAGCUCAGCAGCAAAACUCCCCAGGUGCAGCAGCUUUGGAGGAGCUGUUGGCCCUGAAGAAGUUUCAACAGGGCCCAAUUUCCUGCUGGGGAAGUAAACAUUGUUCUCCCGGAGGUGUUUGAUGUUUUGAACCAGCUUGGGAUGGAAGGAGUUUGACUCUCCAGCUCCCUGGGAGAAGGUGGAAGGAAACCAAGCGAGUGUGUUGAGGUUUGUUGUCUAACUCAAUUAACCAAUUACUUCCAGGUCAAGAAGGGGCAAAGCUAUAACUGCUCUUGCUGCUAUAAAUAAUGUUUGCUCAGGGGUGGUGCAGGGGCAGGAAGCUGUAGGUGUGGGGUUUUUGCUGGAAUGAAAGCAAAUAUCUCUGAUUGCUUCCUGCUCCCAGCAAACCUGUCCCUGUUUUACUGUUGCUGCUUGGAUUCUGGGGUGAACCCAAGCACAAUUCUUGCCUUGGGAAAUGUGUGCAAGAAUUCAGAUUGGGGGAGGAAUACACAAAUUAUCCCCCCUGUGCUGCAAAACACACCCCAAACACCACUGGU